rnacentral:rRNA from 1 species
AAGAAGCACCGGCUAACUACGUGCCAGCAGCCGCGGUAAUACGUAUGGGUGCGAGCGUUAAUCGGAAUUACUGGGCGUAAAGCGUGCGCAGGCGGCUUUUUAAGCCAGAUGUGAAAUCCCCGGGCUUAACCUGGGAACUGCAUUUGUGACUGGAAGGCUAGAGUGUAGCAGAGGGGGGUAGAAUUCCACGUGUAGCAGUGAAAUGCGUAGAGAUGUGGAGGAAUACCGAUGGCGAAGGCAGCCCCCUGGGCUAACACUGACGCUCAUGCACGAAAGCGUGGGGAGCAA